AGUGAACGCUGGCGGUAGGCCUAACACAUGCAAGUCGAACGGCAGCACAGUAAGAGCUUGCUCUUACGGGUGGCGAGUGGCGGACGGGUGAGGAAUACAUCGGAAUCUACUUUUUCGUGGGGGAUAACGUAGGGAAACUUACGCUAAUACCGCAUACGACCUACGGGUGAAAGCAGGGGUUCUUCGGACCUUGCGCGACUGAAUGAGCCGAUGUCGGAUUAGCUAGUUGGCGGGGUAAAGGCACACCAAGGCGACGAUCCGUAGCUGGUCUGAGAGGAUGAUCAGCCACACUGGAACUGAGACACGGUCCAGACUCCUACGGGAGGCAGCAGUGGGGAAUAUUGGACAAUGGGCGCAAGCCUGAUCCAGCCAUACCGCGUGGGUGAAGAAGGCCUUCGGGUUGUAAAGCCCUUUUGUUGGGAAAGAAAAGCAGCAGGUUAAUACCCCGCUGUUCUGACGGUACCCAAAGAAUAAGCACCGGCUAACUUCGUG
rnacentral:rRNA from 1 species